UACGGGGGGGGCAAGCGUUGUUCGGAAUUACUGGGCGUAAAGGGCUCGUAGGCGGCCAACUAAGUCAGACGUGAAAUCCCUCGGCUUAACCGGGGAACUGCGUCUGAUACUGGAUGGCUUGAGUUUGGGAGAGGGAUGCGGAAUUCCAGGUGUAGCGGUGAAAUGCGUAGAUAUCUGGAGGAACACCGGUGGCGAAGGCGGCAUCCUGGACCAACACUGACGCUGAGGAGCGAAAGCCAGGGGAGCAAAAGGG
rnacentral:rRNA from 1 species